CCUACGGGUGGCAGCAGUGGGGAAUAUUGCGCAAUGGGCGAAAGCCUGACGCAGCGACGCCGCGUGAGGGAUGAAGGUCUUCGGAUCGUAAACCUCUGUCAUCAGGGAAGAACGGUCACAGUGCUAAGCAGCAGUGAAUUGACGGUACCUGCAAAGGAAGCACUGGCUAACUCCGUGCCAGCAGCCGCGGUAAUACGGAGGGUGCGAGCGUUAAUCGGAAUUACUGGGCGUAAAGCGCUCGUAGGCGGUAUGUCAAGUCAAGGGUGAAAUCCCCGCGCUCAACGUGGGAACGGCCUUUGAAACUGGCAAACUGGAGUGUGUUAGAGGUUAGUGGACUUC
rnacentral:rRNA from 1 species